rnacentral:tRNA from 4 species
GGGCACAUAGCUCAGCGGUAGAGCACCGCCUUCACACGGCGGGGGUCCCAGGUUCGAAACCUGGUGUGCCCA